AGCGAACGCUGGCGGCAGGCUUAACACAUGCAAGUCGAGCGCCCGUAGCAAUACGGGAGCGGCAGACGGGUGAGUAACACGUGGGAACGUGCCUUUUGGUUCGGAACAACUGAGGGAAACUUCAGCUAAUACCGGAUAAGCCCUUACGGGGAAAGAUUUAUCGCCAAAAGAUCGGCCCGCGUCUGAUUAGCUAGUUGGUGGGGUAAUGGCCCACCAAGGCUACGAUCAGUAGCUGGUCUGAGAGGAUGAUCAGCCACACUGGGACUGAGACACGGCCCAGACUCCACGGGAGGCAGCAGUGGGGAAUCUUGGACAAUGGGCGCAAGCCUGAUCCAGCCAUGCCGCGUGAGUGAUGAAGGCCUUAGGGUUGUAAAGCUCUUUCAGCGGGGAAGAUAAUGACGGUACCCGCAGAAGAAGCCCCGGCUAACUUCGUGCCAGCCGCCGCCGUAAU
rnacentral:rRNA from 1 species